UACGAAGGGGCUAGCGUUGCUCGGAAUCACUGGGCGUAAAGCGCACGUAGGCGGCUUGUUAAGUCAGGGGUGAAAUCCUGGAGCUCAACUCCAGAACUGCCUUUGAUACUGGCGAGCUUGAGUCCGGGAGAGGUGAGUGGAACUGCGAGUGUAGAGGUGAAAUUCGUAGAUAUUCGCAAGAACACCAGUGGCGAAGGCGGCUCACUGGCCCGGUACUGACGCUGAGGUGCGAAA
rnacentral:rRNA from 1 species